rnacentral:rRNA from 1 species
UGGGGAAUAUUGCACAAUGGGCGCAAGCCUGAUGCAGCCAUGCCGCGUGUAUGAAGAAGGCCUUCGGGUUGUAAAGUACUUUCAGCGAGGAGGAAGGCGUUGUGGUUAAUAACCGCAGCGAUUGACGUUACUCGCAGAAGAAGCACCGGCUAACUCCGUGCCAGCAGCCGCGGUAAUACGGAGGGUGCAAGCGUUAAUCGGAAUUACUGGGCGUAAAGCGCACGCAGGCGGUCUGUCAAGUCGGAUGUGAAAUCCCCGGGCUCAACCUGGGAACUGCAUCCGAAACUGGCAGGCCAGAGUCUUGUAGAGGGGGGUAGAAUUCCAGGUGUAGCGGUGAAAUGCGUAGAGAUCUGGAGGAAUACCGGUGGCGAAGGCGGCCCCCUGGACAAAGACUGACGCUCAGGUGCGAAAGCGUGGGGAGCAAACA